UAGGGAAUCUUCCGCAAUGGGCGAAAGCCUGACGGAGCAACGCCGCGUGAGUGAUGAAGGUCUUCGGAUCGUAAAACUCUGUUAUUAGGGAAGAACAUAUGUGUAAGUAACUGUGCACAUCUUGACGGUACCUAAUCAGAAAGCCACGGCUAACUACGUGCCAGCAGCCGCGGUAAUACGUAGGUGGCAAGCGUUAUCCGGAAUUAUUGGGCGUAAAGCGCGCGUAGGCGGUUUUUUAAGUCUGAUGUGAAAGCCCACGGCUCAACCGUGGAGGGUCAUUGGAAACUGGAAAACUUGAGUGCAGAAGAGGAAAGUGGAAUUCCAUGUGUAGCGGUGAAAUGCGCAGAGAUAUGGAGGAACACCAGUGGCGAAGGCGACUUUCUGGUCUGUAACUGACGCUGAUGUGCGAAAGCGUGGGGAUCAAACAAGAUUAGAUACCCUGGUAGUCCACGCCGUAAACGAUGAGUGCUAAGUGUUAGGGGGUUUCCGCCCCUUAGUGCUGCAGCUAACGCAUUAAGCACUCCGCCUGGGGAGUACGACCGCAAGGUUG
rnacentral:rRNA from 1 species